ACUUGAAUCAACUGGGGAUCUUGUUAAAAUACAGAUUCUGAUUCUGCAGGUCUGGGGUGGGCCUAAGAUUCUGGGUUUUUAACAAGCUCCCAAGGGAUGCCAAC
rnacentral:pre_miRNA from 3 species